rnacentral:rRNA from 1 species
CCCUUAGAUGUCCUGGGCCGCACGCGUGCUACACUGACACCUGCAACGAGUUAUUCCAGCUCCGAAAGGCAGUUGGUAAUCAGAAAUAGGUGUCGUGAUGGGGAUAGACCCUUGGAAUUAUGGAUCUUGAACGAGGAAUGCCUAGUAAGCGCACGUCAUUAGCGUGCGCUGAUUAAGUCCCUGCCCUUUGUACACACCGCCCGUCGCUCCUACCGAUUUCGAGUGGUCCGGUGAGCCUUUUGGAGAGUGAGCGUCCUUGAGGCGCUUGCUCGAAGUCAGGCAAAUCUUACUACUUAGAGGGAGGAUAANUCGUAACA